CGGAGGAUCCAAGCGUUAUCCGGAAUCAUUGGGUUUAAAGGGUCCGUAGGCGGUUUUAUAAGUCAGUGGUGAAAUCUGGUCGCUCAACGAUCAAACGGCCAUUGAUACUGUAAGACUUGAAUUACUUGGAAGUAACUAGAAUAUGUAGUGUAGCGGUGAAAUGCUUAGAGAUUACAUGGAAUACCAAUUGCGAAGGCAGGUUACUACAAGUAUAUUGACGCUGAUGGACGAAAGCGUGGGGAGCGAACAGGAUUAGAUACCCUGGUAGUCCACGCCGUAAACGAUGGAUACUAGCUGUUUGGAGCAAUCUGAGUGGCUAAGCGAAAGUGACAAGUAUCCCACCUGGGGAGUACGCUCGCAAGAGUG
rnacentral:rRNA from 1 species